UUUUUUUUGUAUUACAAUCUAACUACUUAAUCCUGCUUGAUAUUAGUUUAAACAUUAGACAACCAAUGAACUAAUAUUUGCUUGUAUUUUACUUUGCAUGCAAAAACCACAUGCGGACAAUUAUACAAAAUAUAUUAAUGUAAUCCAUGAAUUAUUUUAUUAAUCAAUUUAUUUGAAAAAAUUACAAGUUUAUAAACAAAUAUACUACAUUCAGGGAACCAUAUCCAACAAUAACACUGUCAUUAAAGAAAUUGAUUAAACUAGUCAUUCAACUGUUGAAUCCAUCUCUUCUAUCGUUAAAUCUAUUUUUAAUUCAUUUUUUCACUUGUUUUUUUCUAUCUCCUAUUCUUUUGUUCUUCUUCUCCAUUCUAACCUAGAAACCUUAGCCACCACCUCCCUUAAAAAUGUUAUUUUCAUUGAACCACCAUUGAUGAGCUUAAAAGUAAAAAGACAUCUCAAAAUUAGGUCUUAUAAAUUAAGGGGUUAAGAGAUCUUAGCAUGAACAUUCUAAAAUUUUGAGAGCGACUUCACAAUUUUUAGGGUUUUUUUGAGAAAUCUAACCCUAUAGAUUCAAAUAAGAGGCUUUGAGUUUCACUUUAGUGGUUUCUAGAUUGAUAGCCUGACACUAAAGAAUGUGUUGGAUGAUUAUGACAAUGAUGAUGAGAAGUGGAAGCCGCAGGUAAGGAGAAAGGAGAACGAAAAUAGGGAAAAUAAGGAAAAAGAAGAAGCAUCCCUCGGUGUCUUUCAUUAACAGGGACCAUGUUCAACAACAAUGAUUUGACAAAAGAAGAGGCUAUGGCUUCUGGGUUAGAAGGGAGAAAAUGAAAAAAAAAGUAAAAAAGAAAUAAAAAGAAGAAAAAUUAAAAAAAUAUAAAUUAAAAAAGAAAUGAUAUUAUUCUAAAUUUAAUAGUGAAGCAAUCAAAUUGGUCAAUUUUUUUAAUAAAAACGAGAAUGAUCUAAUUUUGGAGAGUCUAAUAGGAUAAUUUAUCCUGAAUUGAAAUAUAAAAAAAAUAGAGGGUCUAUUUGUUUGUGGGAAUUGAUUUUCCGGAAAUUGUUUUUCAACUUUUCCAACGUUUGUUUGCCGGAAAACAUUUUCCAUUUGGAAAAUGAAAUCCAAAACACGAGAAAACACCUUACAUUUUAGGGAAAAUGUAUUACCCUAUCAAUUUCCAUAAGACAUUUUCAAAGCUCUCCUCUCUAUCGAUUUUCCAGUCUCUCCUCUUUUAUUCCUUCAUUUCUGUUAGAAAACUUCCCUGAGAUUAUCGAUUUUCCAGUAAUCCUCCACUCUCCUCCUUCAUUCCUCUCUGUCGAUUAUCGCCGUGGUUGUCUGUGGGUUCGAACUCGUAUUGGAACCUGGACGAACGGAUAUCGCAACUGCUGCAGUGUAAGCCUUUAUCGGAGCAGUAGGUACAUAUAUUUUUUUCCCCCAAUGUAACGGAUUUGUUUCGAAUUUCUUCAUUUGCGGUUUGAUCUGCGGCUUUUGCCACCGAUCUAUUUUUUGUUUAGUAUUUUCUCUGUAUGGGGUCAGAUCCAUUUUAUUUUAUCGAAGACUUUGAAGGGAAAAUGAAAGCAAGAUAAGAUAUUUGUUGAAUUAGUUUUUGUUCCACUUGCUUUCACUGAUAUUGAUUCGUUUUGUUUGUUUAUUUUCUGGCUUUGUUUCAUUUCUCAAGAAAAAAAGUAUAUAUUCUUCCUGGAAUAUGUGUUGUUUGUUUUCACUGAUAUUGAUCCAUUUUGUUCGUUCAUUUUCUCGUAUGCUAACCAUAUUCAAUUGACUAAAGAAUUGGUUUUUGAGACUAGAAAUUAAUAGCCUCAAAAUGUUCUUAGAGGGUAGAAAUGUUCUGAAUUUCUCGACAAGUUUGGCGAAGUCUAUGGGCAUCAAUUACCCUUUUUGUUGGAUUUGGUCACGCUUAGGCUUCUCACAAUAGGAAGUUUUACACAAGCCUUGUUUGUCUAACUCCUGAAUUAAAUAGAACGCUCUUUGUUAAAGAGCCAGGUGCUGUAAUUUGAGUUAUGAUAAAUCAAUUUCUUGCUUGCUGGAUUGAUCUUAUUUGGACAGUUAUUUUAGUAGUCAAGCACCAUAUUUAGGCACCAAUGGCAAUACUGAGCUUGCAAAAGCCAACUUUCAUUGGGGCACAUGCAUUUUGUGUAGGCAUAAAGUUGUAGGCUUCUCUUAUGUUUCUUUUUUUUUUUAAUCUUUAAAUGUGAUGCAUUGCAUUAUCUAUUGAGGGUAAAAUGAAAUGUAUGGGGCAUGCCAGAGUUGGGACUGAAAAAGCUCAAAUAUGGUCCUGACAUGGUUUUAAUUUAUUUCUAUGCUUGACUUCCAGGUAUACAUUUCUUACUGUCCUAGCCUCUACCUCAUCAUUCUUACUCCUGUUAAUGGCAUUGGUUGAUAUUUUCAUAAGAGGUUGGUGUUGAGCAUAUUUGGAAUGUCUUAUUUCUUGAUUUUGGUCUGCCAAUGGCAUGGCAUUUGUGGUUGUUAUAUGUUUGUGGUGUGCUUGAUAUAUGAUUUGGCAUAAUAUGCAUUUGUGGUUGUUAAAAUUCGGUUCAAGUGAAUUAAGCAUGAUUGUUGGAUGUGUUUGGGUAUGGUUUAUUAUUGAUUUGCAUUUUUACUGUAAUUUGUUUAUGUAUUAUUGGCAGUGAUGAGCUGUUAUAUUUGGUUGAUGGUAGGUAAAUACAUAUGUGUCUAUGUCAUGAAUUUUGGUAAUUUUGGCAUGAUUUAUAGCAUAUGGAAUUGGCAUAUAGACUGAUUUGCUAAAUUACAUGAAAAAAAUGAUUAAUGUUAGUCAAGUGAGCAAUGUAUGAUUAAUGUAUGAAUUGGCAUAUGUGUCUUUCUUUGGUUAGCACUUACUGAUCUGUUAGUAUUUGUUAGUAUUUGUUAGCAAUUAAUGAUCUGUUAGUAUUUGAUGCUAGAGAAAAGGGGUGAUGAAUGUUCAUUUGAUAUCUACCAUGUGUGACUUCAAAGGAAGGUCAUGUUGUAACAUUGAUUGUAACAUCCCGAUUUUGGGCUUAGUCGGAACAGUGGUUUCGGGACCACAAAUUCGAUGAGGAAAAAUUUAUUUUUCUUAUAUUUUUAUGGUCUACGAUUUCACGGAAUGAUUUUGUGAAAAUUUUGUUCAAAAAUUUCGACGUUUGGGCACUUAAUUUAGUCAAAUGACUAAAUUGUAAAAAGUGCAAAAGUUGAGCUCUACAUGUUAGAGGUGGCGAAUUGUUAUGAAACUUGAAAUUGGAGGUCCUUAUAUGGUAAUUAGACCAUUGGUUAAGUUGGUAGACAAAAAUGGACAUUAGAUAAGUGAAAUAGGAAAUUUUUAAGUUAGGGACAAUUUGGUAAUUUAGUAAUAAAAAGAAUUAAAAAGGGAAAAAGAUGGCAAAAUGUGCUCAUCUUCUACCUGGUGAACGAAAAUAGCAACGGGGAAGCCAUAGUUAGGGUUUUCAAGCUUCCAAGCUCCAUAGUAAGUGAUUUCAAGCCCUGUUUUUAAUGUUCUUUACAUUUUUAAAGUCCCGGUAACUUGAUUUAGCUUAUUCUAGCAAUAAUUUAACCUAUGAUAUAUAUUUGGAAAAAUACCCAUGGUGAAAUGUGUUUAUUUUGAUGCUUUAUGGUAGAAUAUGAAGCUUGAAAUUAUGUUAAACAACUUUAGCUAAGCGAUUUUAAGUGAAAACGAGUAAGACGACAUAAUUGGUAAAAAUAUCUAAUGUUCAUAAGUAAGUGUUAGAGUAAGAAUUUGAUGUUGUCAUAGAAGGGAAAAAUGUUCAGCAUGUUAUAAAACAUAAGAAAAAUAGAUGAAGUUUAAUUUUUGAGAUUUGGGGCAAAAGUGUAAUUAUGCAAAAGUUUAAGGGUAAAAUCGUAAUUUUUCCAAAGUUCGAGUCAAGGAUUGUUUUGAUGAAUCUGAGUAUUAAAUAAGCUAAAUUUUCUAUUAUAGAUUAAGAAGAACGAAAUUCGGAGUUAGACCGGGGAAAGAAAAAGAUAGAGGACUAAGUUGUUAGAUUUGGUCAAAUUUUGUACUGAGGUAAGUUUACGGUAAAUAAAUGUAAUAUUUCAAUAAUUAUUAUUAAUGCUGUUAUUUUUCUUCAAUUAUAUGUUUAUUUCAUGAAUUUAUUUGAUGUCGACUCAAGUAUGAGACGAUAGAGAAUUAGUAUUAAAAAGUCCCGUUGAAACAUUAGGAAAGUAUCGGAUACAAAUGUCAUGACAUUUGGGUAAAGAGAUCCCAUGUAAUACCAUGUCUGGGACAUGGCAUUGGCAUCUUUGAGAUUAUGAGGGGUCCCAUAUAAGACCAUGUCUGGGACAUGGCGUUGGCACCGAGAUGAGAGGUUCCCCGUAAGACCAUGUCUGGGACAUGGCAUGGGCACCGAUAUGAGAACUCCCAUGUAAGACCAUAUCUGGGAUAUGGCAUUGGCAGUACAAAAAACAUCCCAUGUAAUACAAUGUUUGGGACAUGGCUUUGGCAUGUUAUUAUCAUAUAUGAGACCCAAGUAUCCUUAGUAUUCCAAUGUGGCUCAACGGGCUAGAAAACAGAUUAUGUUCUAUGGAAGUUCAAGUAAAAGUAUAAUUAGCAACUUCAAGUGAGUUAUAAGAGUUAAGAAUAUGUUAUGAUAUCAGUGAGAACCAAUAUUUCAGCAAGAGAAGAGUAAGUUGUAAUCUUAAGCUAUCUAAAUAGGUAAGUAAAUAAACAAGUAAAUGAGAGUAAGUAAAGAGGAAACUUAAUAACAUGAUACUUGCAUAUCAUUAUUUGUGUUAAAUGUUGUUAUUUAUUUACUUGUAAACUUACUAAGCUUUAUGCUUACUUCUUUUAUUUCUUUUUCUUUCAUAUAGUAUUAUCAAGCAUAGUCGAGAUCUUGAAGACGUCGGAGAGCAUUCACACUAUCAACCACCACAACUCAGUAUUUUAAGACGAUAAAUGUUUCGAGCUAUAGCAUGCAUAGGGACUUAGUCAUUUCGAUUGUAUAUUCUUAAAUUAUGACCAAAAGAUGAUAUGUAAAUAUUUGAUGAUGAACAGUUAUUAAAAUGGCUAAGUAUGAAGGUGUUUGUUGUUAUAAAAGUCUAGGUGAUAAAUUAUGCAUAGAAAUCAUGAAAAAGCAAAAAUUGGCAGUGAAUCAGUUUCGAGACAAUAGUAGUGACGUGAUUUUGAAAAAUCACCAAAGAUAGUAGAAAAUGAAUUAGAGGGUGGAUGAGAUAUAGAAUUAAAGCUUAUUGAGUCUACUUUCAUAGACAAAUAACAGUAUAGACAAAGAAAUUAUGUAUUCUGAGAUAUUUUCAUUUUAGUUAGACAAGGUCAAAGUGGUUUUCGGAAUCCCCUGUUCUGAAUUUGGAAAAUCAUUAAAAAUUGUACAAAAAUAUUUAUGAGUUGUGAUUUAUAUGUAUAGAUUCCUUAUUGAGUAUAUUUUCUUUAGAAACAAGUUAGAACACCAUAUGAAGUCUGUACAAUGAGAUAAUUAAAUUUUAGUGACGAGAGGUUAGGACAAUGGAUCAGUGAAAUAGGGGAGACUUUAACUAAUAAACUGUACUAAUUGGCUAAACCAAAAAUUUUGAAAAAUUUAUGCUAAAAUGAUAUAUGAGUCUAGUUUUAGGGAAAAUUUACGGAUCUAAAUUUUGAGUUUCGUAGCGCAAGUUAUAAUUAAAUUAGUGACUACUGCGCAGGUGCACA
rnacentral:lncRNA from 1 species